GACGAACGCUGGCGGCGUGCCUAAUACAUGCGAGUCGAGCGGACGAAUCGAAAGCUUGCUUUUGAUUCGUUAGCGGCGGACGGGUGAGUAACACGUGGGCAACCUGCCCUGUAGACGGGGAUAACACCGAGAAAUCGGUGCUAAUACCGGAUAACACGAAAUGUCGCAUGACGUUUCGUUGAAAGACGGCGCAAGCUGCCGCUACAGGAUGGGCCCGCGGCGCAUUAGCUAGUUGGUGAGGUAACGGCUCACCAAGGCGACGAUACGUAGCCGACCUGAGAGGGUGAUCGGCCACACUGGGACUGAGACACGGCCCAGACUCCUACGGGAGGCAGCAGUAGGGAAUCUUCCGCAAUGGACGAAAGUCUGACGGAGCAACGCCGCGUGAGCGAAGAAGGCCUUCGGGUCGUAAAGCUCUGUUGUUAGGGAAGAACAAGUAACGCAGUAACUGGCGUUACCGUGACGGUACCUAACGAGAAAGCCACGGCUAACUACGUG
rnacentral:rRNA from 1 species